rnacentral:rRNA from 1 species
GACGAACGCUGGCGGCGUGCCUAAUACAUGCAAGUCGAGCGGAUCUUCAUUAGCUUGCUUUUGAAGAUCAGCGGCGGACGGGUGAGUAACACGUGGGCAACCUGCCUGUAAGACUGGGAUAACUUCGGGAAACCGGAGCUAAUACCGGAUAAUCCUUUUCCUCUCAUGAGGAAAAGCUGAAAGACGGUUUCGGCUGUCACUUACAGAUGGGCCCGCGGCGCAUUAGCUAGUUGGUGAGGUAACGGCUCACCAAGGCGACGAUGCGUAGCCGACCUGAGAGGGUGAUCGGCCACACUGGGACUGAGACACGGCCCAGACUCCUACGGGAGGCAGCAGUAGGGAAUCUUCCGCAAUGGACGAAAGUCUGACGGAGCAACGCCGCGUGAGCGAUGAAGGCCUUCGGGUCGUAAAGUUCUGUUGUCAGGGAAGAACGAGUAUCGGAGUAACUGCCGGUACCUUGACGGUACCUGACCAGAAAGCCACGGCUAACUACGUGCCAGCCGCCGCGGUAAGAC